UCCCUUACUUGUGCUAUCGAGAAUCAAACAAAUCAAGACUCAAUAUGGGGGAUCACUUAGUCCUUAAAUCGAUGAAAAACAUAGUAAUUUGUGGAAAUUGAUGUGAGUUGUGAAAUUUUGUGAGCAUUGUGUUUUUGAAUGAAAAUUUCAGCAUGGAUGCAUUCGUAUCUAUGCUACAUUUGUUUCAGUAUAUAAACAUGUACCAUACGUAUUUACUAUUGCUGCGAUGCAAUGGUAUAAAAUGUAUAUGAUCACGAGAGUGAUACUAGUCAACCGAACAGUAACG
rnacentral:misc_RNA from 1 species